UACGGAGGGUGCAAGCAUUAAUCGGAUUUAUUGGGCGUAUAGGGCGCGUAGGCGGAUAAGCAAGUCAGAUGUGAAAUCCCGGGGCUCAACCUCGGAACAGCAUUUGAAACUCCUAAUCUAGAGGAUAGGCGGGGAAAACGGAAUUCCACAAGUAGCGGUGAAAUGCGUAGAUAUGUGGAAGAACAUCGGUGGCGAAGGCGGUUUUCUAGCUUAUUCCUGACGCUGAGGCGCGAAAGCAAGGGGAUCAAACAGG
rnacentral:rRNA from 1 species